UUAGUAUUCCUAAGCCCAACA
rnacentral:siRNA from 1 species